rnacentral:rRNA from 1 species
UGGAUCUGUGGCAGCGCGGCGUAGUGAGGCGGGAGGCACGCCGACCGGGAGUGGGAGGAGGUGGUGGGGUGGGGCGUCGCGGUGGUCGGGGCCAUCCCGUGGUCGCCGGCAGCCUGGCAGGUGGUGGCCGAUGACGGGGCUGGAGGUAGGUGAUGGUGGGGUGGGGUGUCGUGCUGCAUAGGGGGAGGGAGGUUGGUGGAGGAGUGGAGCUCGGGGGAGAGUGGUGGGUGGUCGUGCGAGAAGGGGUGGGAUUUUUGUUCAGGGCAGUUCUGUCGUCGUUAGUCUGUAGCUACCGUGCGGGUCGUAGGUGUUAUCAUAAUAAGCUGGGUGUUAUUAGAACUAGAUGAUACCCCACGCGUUGCUACGGGAUCUCUUUGUUAGCAUUAAAUGUAGAACAGAAACUAAAUAGAACAUCAAACCAACACUAAAAAUUCCAAUGUCAACAUUGUAAUAGUAAAGAGAAUUGACUUUCUGUUGGUAGCAGACUGGGUCAUGUGGAUAGAUGGGCAGAGUACAAAUAGUGGGGCUGAACUUCUUAGGUAUAUAGGAUAAGAGAAUGCCAAAGUCUCAGAGUACAACGACAAAGAAAUGACCGUACAACAACCAAAAACAGUUUUAAAAAACAUCCAAAAAGGAAACAACAGAAACAGUUGAACUACCACUUACGACGACCGACAUGGCCAGAAAAUGACCAGGAACUAAAUCUUUCCUAACCAGUAGCUAGCAUCAGCUUUCAGCUAGCUCAUAACCUGAAUAAACGGCGUAGCCAAGGACCAUUUGCCAGACACAAACUUGGUUUUUUUGUUCUGCAUUUGUUCAACAGUGAAAAGGACCAGGUUGCGAACUUGAUGAUUGUCAAUCUCUUAAGAAAUGAGCUGGAUAAGGUUUGCAAGCAUGGGAACAUACUAAGAAAGAUAGCAUGCCACCAUGCAUGCCCUACGAAAUUUAGUUAUCACAACAUGCAACUAUGCCAACGCACCAUGUCAUUAUGCAUGACCAAAACUCACAUUAACAUGCACCGUGCAUGCUACUCAUCUUCAAUACAUAUUCUACAAACAUAUACUAAUAAAUUGUCUAUAGUUUAGUUCAUAUUUUCAUAUUGCUAAUACAAAAACUAAUUACAAACAACAUCAGAUCUACCCAGUCACCAUCGGUAGGAAGCUCACCAAGUGUUAAGUCCAUACAGGUCUUGUCCAUUAUCCCCAAACCUGCAGAAAUCAGAUACACCAACUAUGACACCACCAGACUAACUGAAAAGAUGUCCGGGUGAGUGGGUUCUUCAGAUCUUCAAAACUCCAAUAAAGAACUUUUGAUUCCCAUUCAUUAAGACUUAUUCUGGUUUCAUAUCAGAGUAUAAAUUGAAGCAAACAGUAUACUUUGAAUCGAUCAGCAAAACAUGGACCAAUGAAUGGCUACUUCAUAAAUAGAAGACUGAUUAACAUGCCCACAACAUAUCCUCUAUGGAGAUCAAUAUGGUGGGUGAGCGUACAAUUCUGAAGAUAUAAAAAAAGCAAAAAGCGACCACAUCUAUUAGAUGCCAGCCUACGUCCAUUGUUGUCCAUCAAGUACAAUUGUUCUUUUUUCAAUGGAAAAUGUGCUAAUUUUUGGAAUAGAGGUUGCUAGAUGAUACACUGGUUGAAAAGAUAAUCAAGAUAAAACGUGUGUUAAAUAAUUGUACUUCUCACAGAACUGAUGAAGAAGCCUCUCCCAAUUGGAAAAUAUUUCUUGUCGAAUUUCUCAUUAGGAUCGUAAAGCACAACCUGCAAUGGUAUAUAUGAGAUUAAUUUAGGAGGACUCAACAUCACUACUAAUCAUAGGUGAAUGCAUCAAAUACUCGAUAAGCAUGCAACCAAAAGGAAUGAUAGAUAGAUAUACACAUUGUAAAUAAAAAAUAGAUCGCUCCAGCUAUCCCCAUAGAACUUACCUAUAUUUUUUAAAAUGGGGAGAACAUAUAUACAAAAUAGUUCCAUCAACCUUAUCUUGAGCCAAGGCUUAUGUACAAACAAUUACACGUGCCAUAAACAUCCUUACAUCCGUAUGAUUGAACAGGAAAUCAAUAUUUUGCCCAAGCUAUGUACAUCCAUAAGACUACAUAGCAAAGAUGUGGAGGACAAAUAUGGUAAUUAUAAUUUCGUUGGAUCUGUAACAAUCCCUUGACUGCAAACAUGGAGAGAAAUACAGUUCCAUGAAAGUGUAAUCAUCACGGCUGAAUCUGUAACGAUGGCUGCCUGUAAACAACACUAAGAGAGGUAAAAUCCCACAGAAGUGUAUUUAUCCACAUAGCAGAUCAAGAUGAGCCAUAGUACUGGCUCAUGUAUCAUCAUAAAUACUAUUAUUAUUCACCGUGUAGAUUGGGGAAAGAUGAACAUGCGUCCUGCAGUGUCAAAUUGUUGCAAAAACAAAAACCAAUCUGUAAUUGUGUCAAUUAGGUGUGAACGCAAAAAAACUGACCGCUUCCUCCUAGUAAAUCCAAACAACUUCGAUGCAAACAAUUGAAUCUCCCUUGUGGGUGAAGUCGCCUCGAAUCCUUGAUGCGAGGUUUCCUUGCGCAUCACCUCAUAGAUCUGGAGGAGGCGAAGCAUGUGCCUCGCCGGUGCUUGUAGUGGAGCGCGGGGGGCGGGGUAUGGCACAGCAAGAGAAGCAGAGGGGGAUGGGGAGGGCCGGAGGAGAAGUAGAGAGAUGUGUCUGAAGGAAUGAGAGGAGACGGGCUGGUGGCGAGAGGUGGGGGACAGACGAUGAGAUAAUAGAUGCGUUCGGGAGAUGGAAACGGAAAGCAAAGUCGAUUGGGCUUCUU